rnacentral:rRNA from 1 species
CGGCGAGUGAAGCGGCAACAGCUCAAAUUUGAAAGCUGGCUCCUUCGGAGUCCGCGUUGUAAUUUGUAGAGGAUGAUUCGGCGAGGGCUCCCGCCUAAGUCCCCUGGAACGGGGCGUCAUAGAGGGUGAGAAUCCCGUAUGCGGUGGGUUGCCUUAGCCAUGUGAAUCUCCUUCGACGAGUCGAGUUGUUUGGGAAUGCAGCUCUAAAUGGGAGGUAAAUUUCUUCUAAAGCUAAAUACCGGCCAGAGACCGAUAGCGCACAAGUAGAGUGAUCGAAAGAUGAAAAGCACUUUGGAAAGAGAGUUAAAAAGUACGUGAAAUUGUUGAAAGGGAAGCGCUUGCAGCCAGACUUGUCCGCAGUUGCUCAACCGGUCUCCUGACCGGUGUACUCUUCUGCGGCCAGGCCAGCAUCAGUUCGGGCGGUCGGAUAAAGGCCCUGGGAAUGUAGCUCCUCUCGGGGAGUGUUAUAGCCCAGGGUGGAAUGCGGCCAGCCUGGACUGAGGAUCUCGCUUCGGCUAGGAUGCUGGCGUAAUGGCUGUAAGCGGCCCGUCUUGAAACACGGACCAAGGAGUCUAACAUCUAUGCGAGUGUUUGGGUGUCAAACCCAUGCGCGUAAUGAAAGUGAACGGAGGUGGGAACCCUCACGGGUGCACCAUCGACCGAUCCUGAUGUCUUCGGAUGGAUUUGAGUAAGAGCAUAGCUGUUGGGACCCGAAAGAUGGUGAACUAUGCCUGAAUAGGGUGAAGCCAGAGGAAACUCUGGUGGAGGCUCGCAGCGGUUCUGACGUGCAAAUCGAUCGUCAAAUUUGGGUAUAGGGGCGAAAGACUAAUCGAACCAUC